rnacentral:lncRNA from 10 species
AUUCAGGGACACCUGCGGCUCCAGGUCAGAGAUGCACCUGCUAGUCCUGCCUCUACAGGACCCAACCCAUCAGUUCCUAGCUUGUCCUUCUGGUGAGAAUUGAGCACACUAUACUGUGGACAUAAAGACAAACCUUGCUGGAACUGACUGGUGGAAUGUAGCAGGAAUCGGAGGGAAGCUUUACUCAUCAUUCCAGUCCAGGGACCAACAUAGGAAAUUAUAUUAAAAUUGGUUCUUCUCUGCUUACUUCCGUCCUCUAGUUGCAUAUUCUUAAUCAGGUAAAGCAUUUGUUAACCUUGUUUUUAAUACUUAGAGGAGUGCCCUGGAGCCUGUCUGCCCUCAUGAUUGUCUGGAGAGGUGAGAAGACCAGGAGUAGUAAAACAGACCAAAGAUUUCCCAAUUUCUCUUGGGGAAGUGGCUGGGAUUGGGGAUGGUGGCCAAUGGGAGCCCAACUUUAUUGGUAAAAUUCUGAUUAUUUUAUGAGAAGAAUGUAUUUUUGUAUCAUUUGUGUAAUUAAAAAAUUAAGCAAAUGAAUAAUAUGAACACUUCAGUUCUUAAACAUUGACAAUGUAUAUACUGGAUGUAAUAAAACGC